rnacentral:tRNA from 1 species
GGUCUCUUAGCUCAGUUGGUAGAGCAAUGGAUUGAAAAUCCAUGUGUCCCUGGUUCGAUUCCUGGAGAGACCACAA